GACGAACGCUGGCGGCGUGCUUAACACAUGCAAGUCGAACGAAGUGGCGAACGGGUGAGUAACGCGUAAUCAACCUGCCCUUCAGAGGGGGACAACAGUUGGAAACGACUGCUACUACCGCAUAAUGCAGGAGGGGAUUGCGUCUGAUUAGCUAGUUGGAGGGGUAACGGCCCACCAAGGCAAUGAUCAGUAGCCGGUCUGAGAGGAUGAGCAGCCACACUGGGACUGAGACACGGCCCAGACUCCUACGGGAGGCAGCAGUGGGGAAUAUUGCACAAUGGGCGCAAGCCUGAUGCAGCCAUGCCGCGUGUAUGAAGAAGGCCCUAGGGUUGUAAAGCUCUGUUAAUCGGGACGCGGUACCGGAAUAGAAAGCCACGGCUAACUACGUGCCAGCAGCCGCGGUAAUAC
rnacentral:rRNA from 1 species